rnacentral:tRNA from 1 species
GCGGACGUGGCGAAACUGGUAGACGCAGCAGACUUAAAAUCUGUUUCUUGUACAAGAGUGCGGGUUCGACUCCCGCCGCCCGCACCA